UACGUAGGGUGCAAGCGUUGUCCGGAAUUAUUGGGCGUAAAGAGCUCGUAGGCGGUUUGUCGCGUCUGCUGUGAAAACCCGAGGCUCAACCUCGGGCCUGCAGUGGGUACGGGCAGACUAGAGUGCGGUAGGGGAGAUUGGAAUUCCUGGUGUAGCGGUGGAAUGCGCAGAUAUCAGGAGGAACACCGAUGCGAAGGCAGGUCUCUGGGCUGUAACUGACGCUGAGGGAGCGAAAGCAUGGGGAGCGAACAGG
rnacentral:rRNA from 1 species